rnacentral:rRNA from 1 species
CCUACGGGAGGCAGCAGUGGGGGAUAUUGCACAAUGGGGGAAACCCUGAUGCAGCGACGCCGCGUGUGGGAAGACGGUCCUCUGGAUUGUAAACCACUGUCCCCAGGGACGAAGAUGACGGUACCUGGGGAGGAAGCUCCGGCAAACUACGUGCCAGCAGCCGCGGUAAUACGUGGGGAGCAAGCGUUGUCCGGAAUUACUGGGUGUAAAGGGAGCGUAGGCGGGAUGGCAAGUUGGGUGUUAAAUCUACCGGCUAAACUGGUAGUCGCACCCAAAACUGCUAUUCUUGAGUGAAGUAGAGGCAGGCGGAAUUCCUAGUGUAGCGGUGAAAUGCGUAGAGAUUAGGAGGAACACCAGUGGCGAAGGCGGCCUGCUGGGCUUUUACUGACGCUGAGGCUCGAAAGUGUGGGGAGCAAACAGGAUUAGAUACCCUGGUAGUC